rnacentral:rRNA from 1 species
AUUUUAAGCUCUGUAAUUGGAAUGAUGGGAAUGUAAAACCCUUCCAGAGUAACAAUUGGAGGGCAAGUCUGGUGCCAGCAGCCGCGGUAAUUCCAGCUCCAAUAGUGUAUAUUAGAGUUGUUGCAGUUAAAAAGCUCGUAGUUGGAUUUCUGCUGUGGUCAUCCGGUACCGCCCGUAUGGGUGCGCACCUGGUUUGGCUCCGGCUUUCUUCCUGUAGCCGUCCGCGCUUAAUUGCGUGUACUGUGUUACGGAACUUUUACUUUGAGAAAAAUAGAGUGUUUCAAGCAGGCUUGUCGCCCUGAAUACUUCAGCAUGGAAUAAUAGGAUAGGACCUUGGUUCUAUUUUGUUGGUUUCUAGGACCAAGGUAAUGAUUAAUAGGGACAUUGUGGGGGGGCAUA